UGACACCCGAGGUGCUCCGUAUUCAAAAAUAAGGGUGGACACCCUUUGAACCGGUACUUAAACCCAAGAAAGGCCACAACGGCUUAAACUAACGUGCAAGCAGGCCGGCAGUUUAAUACGAAGGGUGGCAAAGCCGUUGAUCCUGGAAAUUAUUUGGGGCGGUAAAAGGGGGCUCGGCAGGCGGAUUCAUUUAAGUUUGAAUAGUGAAAGGCCCCCGGCUCUAACCCGGGGGAAGGGUCCAUUGGAAAACUGGGGGAGAUUGAGUGCAGGAAAGAGGAGAGGUGGAAUUCCACGUGUAGCGGUGAAAUGCGUAGAGAUGUGGAGGAACAUCAGUGGCGAAGGCGACUCUCCUGGUCUGUAUACUUGACGCUGAGGAGCGAAAGCGUGGGGAGCGAACAGGGAUUAGAUACCCUGGUAGUCCACGCCGUAAACGAUGAGUGGUAAGUGUUAGGGGCUCUCCGCCUCCUUAGUGCUGCAGCUAACGCAUUAAGCACUCCGCCUGGGGAGUACGGUCGCAAGACUGAAACUCAAAGGAAUUGACGGGGGCCCGCACAAGCGGUGGAGCAUGUGUUUUAAUUCGAAGCAACGCGAAGAACCUUACCAGGUCUUGACAUCCUCUGACAAUCCUAGAGAUAGGACGUCCCCUUCGGGGGCAGAGUGACAGGUGGUGCAUGGUUGUCGUCAGCUCGUGUCGUGAGAUGUUGGGUUAAGUCCCGCAACGAGCGCAACCCUUGAUCUUAGUUGCCAGCAUUCAGUUGGGCACUUUAAGGUGACUGCCGGUGACAAACCGGAGGAAGGUGGGGAUGACGUCAAAUCAUCAUGCCCCUUAUGACCUGGGGUACACACGUGCUACAAUGGGCAGAACAAAGGGCAGGGAAACCGCGAGGUUAAGCCAAUCCCACAAAUCUGUUUUCAGUUCGGAUUGCAGUUUGCAACUUGACUGCGUGAAGCUGGAAUCGCUAGUAAUCGCGGAUCAGCAAGCCGCGGUGAAUACGUUCCCGGGCCUUGUACACACCGCCCGUCACACCACGAGAGUUGUAACACCCGAAGUCGGUUAGUUAACCUUUACGGAGCCAGCCACCGAAGUUGUGAGAGAUGAAUGGGGGAAGUUCAUUUUAAUGAGAUGGUCCCC
rnacentral:rRNA from 1 species